UACGUAGGGAGCAAGCGUUGUCCGGAAUCAUUGGGCGUAAAGCGCGCGUAGGCGGCCCUGUAAGUCCGUUGUGAAAGUCAAAGGCUCAACCUUUGAAAGCCGAUGGAUACUGCGGGGCUAGAGUCCGGAAGAGGCGAGUGGAAUUCCUGGUGUAGCGGUGGAAUGCGCAGAUAUCAGGAGGAACACCAAUAGCGAAGGCAGCUCGCUGGGACGGUACUGACGCUAAGGCGCGAAAGCGUGGGGAGCAAACAGG
rnacentral:rRNA from 1 species